rnacentral:pre_miRNA from 1 species
AAUAUACUCCCUCCGUCCGAAAAUACUUGUCAUCAAAAUGGACAAAAAAGGAUGUAUCUAGAACUAAAAUACAUCUAGAUACAUCUCCUUUUAUCCAUUUUGAUGACAAGUAUUUCCGGACGGAGGGAUUACAUG